CGGACCGGAAGUUGGGGUGACGCAAUUUCCGGCGCGCGUGUCAAGCGUGCGGCGGCGGCCGUGGAAGGGAACUCCCUCCACUAGAAUAUGAGCUCCUUGUGGUCAAGACUGGGUCCCCUGUUCCCUUCCCCCCAGUGCCAGCGGAGCGAAGGUCAGUCAGCGGCAUAAGUUGUACCUGCUGGGAGAACUGUCUGCUUCCUCCGGGUGACUUUUCUGGCCAAGAAGGAAUAUGAGUAUGUGCCUCCCUGAGCACUGGCCUGGAGCCCACUCAGGAAACACCAUCUCUUCAUAAAUGGUUUUGAUUGCA